UGACUAUAGCCAAAUCAGAUAGCUGAGAGAUGUUAAGUGACCAGUUUUUGUGAAAUCCCUUUGAUGUACAUCAACUAAUGUGCUUACUAAAUUUUUCACAUUG